AAAAUUUCACUUUCAAACACGUGGUAGCAGCUCUGUGGCUUUUACCCAAAGUUGAACUACACGCUCAUUUAAUUCGAUCGAUUAGUUCCGAUACUAGACUAAUACAAUACUUAAGCUGAUUGAGCUCAAGUCCAAGCCGAAACGGCUUUUAGGAGGAAAAGAUGAAGGUUUCUCUGAUUCUAAUCCAAACAGUUGGAAAACAGUCAUAAAUGAUUGAAGGAGAGAAACUAGAAAGGUAUGAUCAAUUUACUAAUUUACCAGUGGGUCAUUUUGUGCGUAUGAAAAGGUUAAUUUAGAGGGAA